UGGGGAAUAUUGGACAAUGGGCGAAAGCCUGAUCCAGCCAUGCCGCGUGUGUGAAGAAGGUCUUCGGAUUGUAAAGCACUUUACGUUGGGAGGAAGGGCAGUAAGCGAAUACCUUGCUGUUUUGAUGUUACCGACAGAAUAAGCACCGGCUAACCCUGUGCCAGCAGCCGCGGUAAUACAGAGGGUGCGAGCGUUAAUCGGAUUUACUGGGCGUAAAGCGUGCGUAGGCGGCUAAUUGAGUCGGAUGUGAAAUCCCCGAGCUUAACAUGGGGAUUGCAUACGAUACUGGUUAGCUAGAGUGUGUGAGAGGAUAGUAGAAUUCCAGGUGUAGCGGUGAAAUGCGUAGAGAUCUGGAGGAAUACCGAUGGCGAAAGCAGACAUCUGGCGUAACACUGACGCUGAGGUACGAAAGCAUGGGGAGCAAACAGG
rnacentral:rRNA from 1 species